rnacentral:tRNA from 1 species
GGGGGACUAGCUCAAAUGGUAGAGCGCUCGCGUAGCAAGCGAGAGAGCACCGGGAUCGAUGCCCGGGUUCUCCA